CAGAUCCUUUCUGCCAGGAUUGGCAAUGCCUAGCUCAUCUUGCAGAUUGGCAAUGCAAAAUAGGCUGCAUGGGAUUCAGAGUGAAAUAGAAGAAUGACCUGGCUGACAUCAAUGUCCUGCAAAAGGUGCCAGAUGAGCUGACCCUAGCCAGAGCUGAACUGGAGAUGCUGAGAACCUGACGGAAGAAUUGGUCUAUCUGAAGUAGAAUCAAUCAUGAGGAGGCCAAAAUUUGAUUUUUUUUCCUCCCAGACUUCAAAAUUAAAACAUCAGGUUUGCAAAUCUGGAGUUAAAACAC